rnacentral:rRNA from 1 species
UACGGAGGGGGCUAGCGUUGUUCGGAAUUACUGGGCGUAAAGCGCACGUAGGCGGCUUUGUAAGUUAGAGGUGAAAGCCCGGAGCUCAACUCCGGAACUGCCUUUAAGACUGCAUCGCUUGAACGUCGGAGAGGUAAGUGGAAUUCCGAGUGUAGAGGUGAAAUUCGUAGAUAUUCGGAAGAACACCAGUGGCGAAGGCGACUUACUGGACCCCCACUGACGCUGAGGCGCGAAAGCCAGGGGAGCGAACGGG